CUGCAUCCAUUGACAGACCUUGAACAGUUUGCUGUUGUUUUUUGGUUUGCUCUGGGAUGCAAAAGAAAGAAAUCCCUCCACUUCCUUUCUGUCUUUCUGGCAGCCCAGAGUGAAUUGGGGAAUAUAUCU
ensembl:snoRNA